UAGUAUAGAGGAUGGAACGGGCAGCCAUCGCCUUUGUGGAGAUGAGGAUUGUCACCCUCCUAUACUU
rnacentral:ncRNA from 12 species